AUUGAACGCUGGCGGCAUGCCUUACACAUGCAAGUCGAACGGCAGCACGGGGGGUAACCCCUGGUGGCGAGUGGCGAACGGGUGAGUAAUAUAUCGGAACGUGUCCUGUAGCGGGGGAUAACCUAUCGAAAGAUGGACUAAUACCGCAUACGACCUACGGGUGAAAGCGGAGGACCGCAAGGCUUCGCACUAUAGGAGCGGCCGAUAUCGGAUUAGCUAGUUGGCGGGGUAACGGCCCACCAAGGCGACGAUCCGUAGCUGGUCUGAGAGGACGAUCAGCCACACUGGAACUGAGACACGGUCCAGACUCCUACGGGAGGCAGCAGUGGGGAAUUUUGGACAAUGGGCGCAAGCCUGAUCCAGCCAUGCCGCGUGAGUGAAGAAGGCCUUCGGGUUGUAAAGCUCUUUCGGCGGGGACGAAACGGUUCGUGCUAAUACCACGGACUACUGACGGUACCCGCAGAAGAAGCACCGGCGAACUACGU
rnacentral:rRNA from 1 species